CAGCAACAGAGACAGAUGUUCAAUUCACGUUUCCCACCCCCAUCAAAUUCCCUUUUCACAUAAGUUUCUCUUCAGUUUCUGCCAAGAUUCUCUGCUGUCUCCAUAAGUCUCUGCCUGAGAUGCACACACGCCUUGCCUGUGAAUGGCGGCCCAGGGCUCCAAACUGAAUGAACGAAAGGGGGUGUCCCGAGAGAGGCGGCGUUAGCGUACCCCUCCCAGCCCAGCUCACCAGGUUCUCCG